ensembl:lncRNA
ACUUUUGCAUUUUAAUGUAAACAAUCAUAUUUCGUAAUAUUUUGGGUCAGAAACAUUUCAUAGUACUAUAUUAUGUCUAACUAUGUGAAAACAAUCAAAUUGGAGUAGGUCGUGCACUUGAUUAUAUGAGUUUGUUAGAAAAACCACUUUCCUUUGCUCCUAGCGCCUUCUCGUUCGCUCUAUAGCGUUUUCAGAGCAUAAAGAGCACAAGUGUGUAAGGGGACACAGAAUGAAUGGGAACUAGUUUUGUUAUUGUACUUUUGAUGAAAAGUGACUUUCUAGACAUAAAAUGUCACUUUUUUCACCUUAUCAUACUUUUUCAUCAACUUUUGCAUUUUAAUGUAAACAAUCAUAUUUAGUAAUAUUUUGGGUCAGAAACAUUUCAUAGUACUAUAUUAUGGCUAACUAUGUGAAACAAAUCAAAUUGGAGUAGGUCGUGCACUUGAUUAUAUGAGUUUGUUAGAAAAACCACUUUCCUUUGCUCCUAGCGCCUUCUCGUUCGCUCUAUUGCGUUUUCAGCGCAUAAAGAGCACAAGUGUGUAAGGGGACACAGAAUGAAUGGGAACUAGUUUUCUUAUUGUACUUUUGAUGAAAAGUCACUUUCUAGACAUAAAAUGUCACUUUUUUCACCUUAUCAUUCUUUUUCAUCAACUUUUGCAUUUUAAUGUAAACAAUCAUAUUUCGUAAUAUUUUGGGUCAGAAACAUUUCAUAGUACUAUAUUAUGUCUGACUAUGUGAAAAAAAUCAAAUUGGACUAGGUCGGGCAACUGAUUAUAUGAGUUUGUUAGAAAAACCACUUUCCUUUGCUCCUAGCGCCUUCUCGUUCGCUGUAUAGCGUUUUGAGCGGAUAAAGAGCACAAGUGUGUAAGGAGACACAGGAUGAAUGGGAACUAGUUUUGUUAUUGUACUUUUGAUGAAAAGUGACUUUCUAGACAUAACAUGUCACUUUUUUCACCUUAUCAUACUUUUUCAUCAACUUUUGCAUUUUAUUGUAAACAAUCAUAUUUCAUAAUAUUUUGGGUCAGAAACAUUUCAUAGUACUAUAUUAUGUCUAAAUAUGUGAAAAGAAUCAAAUUGGACUAGGUCGGGCAACUGAUUAUAUGAGUUUGUUAGAAAAACCACUUUCCUUUGCUCCAAGCGCCUUCUCGUUCGCUCUAUAGCGUUUUGAGUGGAUAAAGAGCACAAGUGUGUAAGGAGACACAGGAUGAAUGGGAACUAGUUUUGUUAUUGUACUUUUGAUGAAAAGUCACUUUCAAGACAUAAAAUGUCACUUUUUUCACCUUAUCAUACUUUUUCAUCAACUUUUGCAUUUUAUUGAAAAAAAUCAUAUUUCGUAAUAUUUUGGGUCAGAAACAUUUCAUAGUACUAUAUUAUGUCUAAAUAUGUGAAAAGAAUCAAAUUGGACUAGGUCGGGCAACUGAUUGUAUGAGUUUGUUAGAAAAACCACUUUCCUUUGCUCCUAGCGCCUUCUCGUUCGCUGUAUAGCGUUUUGAGCGGAUAAAGAGCACAAGUGUGUAAGGAGACACAGAAUGAAUGGGAACUAGUUUUGUUAUUGUACUUUUGAUGAAAAGUCACUUUCUAGACAUAAAAUGUCACUUUUUUCACCUUAUAAUACUUUUUCAUCAACUUUUGCAUUUUAUUGUAAACAAUCAUAUUUCGUAAUAUUUUGGGUCAGAAACAUUUCAUAGUACUAUAUUAUGUCUAACUAUGUGAAAAAAAUCAAAUUGGAGUAGGUCGGGCAACUGAUUAUAUGAGUUUGUUAGAAAAACCACUUUCCUUUGCUCCUAUCGCCUUCUCGUUCGCUGUAUAGUGUUUUGAG